UCCUGACGAAAACGAAGAGGCAAGAUCGGCUCCCCCGAGAAGCCCCUGAGCGACCUGGGCCUCAUCUCCUACCGCUCCUACUGGAAGGACCUCCUGCUCAGCUACCUGGCCACCUACUCCGAGAAGAACGUGUACAUCAAAGACAUGAGCACGGAGAUGGCCGUGAGCUGUACGACAUCGUGGAGCACGUUCCAGGCCAUGGGCAGAUGAAGUAACUGGAAGGGGAAAGCACAUCCUCCUGCUCAGGAGACAGGACCUUCUGGAGGAGUUCCUGGAGCGGCAGAAGCGGCGUCGCGCGGACUACAAGGAGAUCGACCCCAAGUGCCUCAACUGGCGGCCGUACGUCCCGCCCCCGCCCUCCGAGGACCAGGCCAGCUCCAACAAGAACAAGGCGGCGGCGGCCAACAAGGCGGCGGCGGACAGGAAGAAGGCGGCGGCGGCGGCGUCCUCGCAGUAGAGGGGGGAAGGAAGGAAGGAAGAGG